CUAGAAAUCCCUGCCUGAGAUGCAUCCUGGGUUUUAUUGCUCAAAGCUCAACUUCAACAUUCAACAGAGGAAUGUUCAUCAGAUAGUCCUGUUUUGUUGUACAAGUGCUACAUUUGGUAAUUUUGGACUUUCGAGACUUCUUUCCCGGGUAUGUGAUCACGCACAGGAUCUUGUUCUCUCGCAUUAAAGUAAACCAACAUAUACCUCAGAGGACACUGCUGUGUGGGUCCUGCCUCGUGCUGCCCCUCGACCACAGGUGACUCAUCCUGUUUCGUAUAAGGUCAUCCCUGGACGGGGAUAUGAUACGUUAUAGGUGCUCCAAUAUCCUGCCGGGAUCUAUUUGUUGGAUUGUGACCUGAAAAUGCCCGAAGGAAACCUUCAACCUUUUCAGCACAAAAUGUUAGCUACCUGCGUGUGACUCCUUAUCUGUCCUCAUCUAUUCCCUUCCUCCAGCAGUACGUCUGUCAAUACCGGCAUGAAAGGGAUCAGUCAAGUAUAAGAAUUUCACACAGGCGCCUCACCGUGUUUGAGGACUGCUUAAUUUACACUGUUGACCUUUCCAUGGAGAUAAAUACACUGUAAUAAACUGUACCGAUAAAUGAUACAUGUGCUGCAUUGUCGAAUUGUUGUAACCGAGCACACGGCAGGUGUUGUCUGCAGCAAAAUGAUUGAUGGUCAUCUUGUACCGCUUCUUGUUUCACAAUUGAUGUGGAUUUUUUAAUUUUUUUUUUUACCUCUGCGUCAUUUCCUUUCUCGGAAAACAAGGUGAUGUUUAGAAAAUGGAAUUGGUGCAUGUUCUUAUAUUUAUCUUAUCUUAUUUUUAGCAGCACAACAGAUGAUGUAAUAAAAGUUACACAAUGAUGAUAUCAUAUAUCUCAAAGGGGUUUUUCCAUUCUGUUUCUUAUCUACAGGUUUCCCCUCGCCCCUACUAACAAAACAAGGACAGUUAGAGGUGCUUGCAUUGUAUUUAAAUAAUCAAUGCAUGCUGCUUUAUACUGCUUUUACUGUAUAUUCUGACAGUUGUACCUUCUAAAAACUUAUGACAUGCACGAUAUGGAGUUUUCAGCUGAUAAUUACACGCUUCUUACGGCUGAUGCCGUUAACCGAUAAUAACUUCACAUUGUUGUAUUUAAAAAGUAGCCUGUAAUUUACACACCCCUGAGCAGUUUGGCUUUGUAUUAUUGGUUCUAUUUAUCUGCCAAAAACCGAUAAUGUGUUGUCUCCAUUACAGGGCAGAUCAUUUAUUGGUCCCAAACAUGUUCCCUACUUUAGAUUUAUAUAAUGUGUUAAUGCAUCAGUCUUAUAAUCCCAUCAUUUAAGAACAUGACACUCUGAAAGGAGGCCGUUCUGCGUGAUGAUUACUUAUAUUUUUUAUUUCUUUCUUUGCUCAUGAUACAUCUGUACGUAUGGAAAAUGUUGAGUAUUUAUACACAGUGUUAUUACCUACAAUACAAAGCAACUAAGCAAAUUAACUUUAAAACAUGAAUGUCCGUUAAGUUGAAACCAUUACGAAAUGGGUUCAAACAAGCACAGGAUAAUAAUUUUGGUAGAGUUUGCCAGAGCUAAUGACGUCAUCAGCACGUCAACAGUGUUUGUGUGAUGUUUAAUUACUGUCACUGUCAGGAUAAGGUUUAAAGAGACUUGUCACAGCAUCAGUUGUUUCAACAAGGGAUAGGAUGUCGGGAGCAAAGGAGGAAGUCAGGUGAUGUUAUAUAGCAACAAAGUGUGCAGAGUGGACGGACAGGGCUUUAACUCGCGACCAUUAACAACCAUUUCAAACUGACAUGUAGUGUUUUCUUUCUUUCUCUCUUCCUGUAAAAGCAUUUCCAUGAUACGGUGCAGGUCUCCGAACAUUCACCAAGUGCUUAGUUCAACCCAAACAAUUUACCUCGAACCUAACCAAGUCCAACCGAACCAACAACAGUGAUUUGUAACAGCUUUGGAAGGCACCGUUGAACCAUGCGUUCCUGCUGACAGAGCCACCAGAUGAAGAAACUCCUACAACUGGGUCCUACAUUACCCACAGUGCAACCAGGAGCGUCUUUAUUUUACACCUUCGCUGCGUGGUGCAUGGCCAACACGUCCCCUUUGUCUUCAUCUCACAUUUCUUACUAUUAUAACCACCUAAUAUGGACGACAUGAGACUGCUUUUACACAUUUGGUUGGCUUGGCAUUGCAAACAAUGAUCUGCCGUCCGGUCAACAGAAAACUUAACAAUAAAAUUCCCCUUCAGUUGAAUUAAUCACGGCUAGGCUACGGAAGCUGCACAGGAUCACCACAAAUAUCCAUAAAAAGUUCAACCAUAUUUAUCAACAAUGCUCUAAACCUCUUCUUCUUCAUACUAUACUGUAUCCCUCUCCUCAUUUCUGCAUGAAGGCACAAAGUCAAGGCUACAUCAGCCGCUGCUAGCAUAAAGCACCAGCACCUGCAACCAAACUGUUGAUGGUUGAGCUGCAUUGUGGGUAAUGUACGCACCAGGUUUUGACAAGGAAAAGAUGAAACCUGCUGUUGUGCUCUAAACAAGAUCUUUUUUUCAUUGUGAUAUUUCUGCAGCAAAUACUUAUUAUCAAAUAAUCUGCCAGUUAUUUCCAUAACGAAUCCUUUCAUCAGAAAGUUGUGAAAAGUCUUGUAUUUAUUCAGAACUCAAAGUGACACCUGUGAUUUGCUUCUUGUCCAAUCAAUUAUCCAAACCCCCAAAACUCAUAAAAAACUUCGAAGAUUAGGAGAAAAUCCUUAAAUCUAGAAAAUGGUCAACAAAUGUUUGACAUCUUUGCUCAAAUUGAUUAUCAGAAAAGUCCUUUGAUGGACUUGGCAGCUCGUGAAUUAUCACGUUGAAGUGCACUUUGUGGGGACCUGCUCUUCACUGAUGCUCUUCAAAUGUACUCUACAUUUCAGGUAUAAAAUAUUGAACUUUUCACUCCACUUGAUUUCUCUGACAGCUCCAAUUCAAACAGCUUCCACCUUAAAGUACUU
ensembl:lncRNA